rnacentral:tRNA from 1 species
GGCAGGGUAGCUCAGCCGGUUAGAGCGUACGACUCAUAAUCGUAAGGUCGGGGGUUCGAGUCCCCCCCCUGCUA